rnacentral:rRNA from 1 species
UUUUUUUGGAGAGUUUGAUCCUGGCUCAGGACGAACGCUGGCGGCGUGCCUAAUACAUGCAAGUC